rnacentral:rRNA from 1 species
AGUGCACUUCAUUGUGGCUCCCUAUUAUAUUUCACAUUACCC